GAAAUGGCCACCAGACCCAGGCUUUCUGGAAUGCAUUCAUUUUCUGCAGUUGAAGGGACGAUCCCGGAUCUGAAAGAAAGAGCCACAGUGACUCCAAGAGUGGAGCCAGGGCAUGCUGGACACUGCAUAGCUAUGGCCACGUGUGUCACCUCCGAGGGAGAUGUGAGAGAAACACAGAGGGAUCGCUUGUGACUGUGCCUUCUCGAUGUAUGAUGGACUGUUCUGCUCAAAUAGCAGCAGUAGGGCUUAUGGGAGCCAUUGUACAGUGACAGGAACAUACCAGGACACUAAGAAUAGCGUCAUGUCAUAAGGACUCAGAGCAGGUGGACCCUGCUGUGAUGCACAAAGGUGAGGGUGCAGCUGCCCAGGACACACUCAUGCAUGUUUGUGUGGACCAUGGAAGAUGGCAGGGGAAGAGCUGUCAGGUUGCUGGGGCAGAG
rnacentral:lncRNA from 10 species